rnacentral:tmRNA from 1 species
GGGGAUGUCAAGGUUUCGACGGGGGUCGUUGAAGCUUGAAGAGCUAUCCGUGGCCCGGGCCACGUUAAAAACCGGACCUAAAUAUAAACGCUAACAAUAAUUCUUACGAAUUAGCUUACGCUGCUUAACCUUAGUUUAGGCGGCUGCCGGACAUAGGCGCCCCGCGGUCUGUGUUUCGGCCCAUCAGAGCGGGCUACUUCGCGAUUCGCGCUUUCGGAGAGCGGAAGAUCCUUAAGAGCUACGGAAGAUCAAGACCCUGCCUGUGGGGCCGGUCUUCUGAAAACUUAAUACAUAGGCUAUGAUAGUAGAGCCUCGAGUGGAGGGACUUUCGGACAUGGGUUCAAUUCCCAUCAUCUCCAU